rnacentral:rRNA from 12 species
GAGCCGGCGACUUAUAGGUAGUGGCAGGUUAAGGUAGUGAAUACCGAAGCCACAGUGAAAGCGAGCCUGAAUAGGGCGUUUGUCACUAGUUAUAGACCCGAACCCGGAUGAUCUAACCAUGGGCAGGUUGAAGCUUGGGUAAUACUAAGUGGAGGACCGAACCGACUGAUGUUGAAAAAUCAGCGGAUGACUUGUGGUUAGGGGUGAAAUGCCAAUCGAAUUCGGAGCUAGCUGGUUCUCCCCGAAAUGCGUUUAGGCGCAGCGGUAGAUGUUAUAGUUUAGGGGUAAAGCACUGUUACGUAUGCGGGCUGGUAAUUCGGUACCAAAUCGUUGCAAACUAAGAAUACUAAAUGUAUAGUCUACCAGUAAGACUGUGGGGGAUAAGCUCCAUUGUCAAGAGGGAAACAGCCCAGAGCACCAGUUAAGGCCCUUAAAUAAUUGCUAAGUGGUAAAGGAGGUGGGAGUGCAUAAACAAUCAGGAGGUUUGCUUAGAAGCAGCAAUCCUUUAAAGAGUGCGUAAUAGCUCACUGAUCGAGUAAACCUGCGCCGAAAAUGUAUGGGACUAAGUAAUUUGCCGAAACUGUGCGAUAUAUAUUUAUAUAUCGGUAGGGGAGCGUUCUGUUGUAGGUCGAAGUAUUAGCGUAAGCGGAUAUGGACGAAGCAGAAGUGAGAAUGUCGGCUUGAGUAACGAAAAUAUAGGUGGGAAUCCUAUACCCCGAAAACCCAAGGUUUCCUCCGGAAGGCUCGUCCGCGGAGGGUAAGUCAGGACCUAAGGCGAGGCUGAAAAGCGUAGUCGAUGGACAACGGGUUAAUAUUCCCGUACCGUUUUUUAUUGAUAUCGAGGGACGGAGAAGGCUAAGCUAGCCGGAUAUUGGUUUUACCGGUUUAAGCGUUCAAGAUGUUGAGAAGCGGCGAAAACGCUUUGAGUUGAGACGUGAGUACGAGACGCUAAGGCGUCGAAGUAGUGGAUGUCAUACUUCCAAGAAAAGCUUGCACUGUCAUAAAUAAAAAACGCCUGUACCAUAACCGACACAGGUGGGUAGGUAGAGUAUACUAAGGGGCGCGAGAUAACUCUCUCUAAGGAACUCGGCAAAAUGACUCCGUAACUUCGGGAGAAGGAGUGCCUUAUUCGUAAGGCUGCAAUAACAAGAUCCAAGCAACUGUUUAUCAAAAACACAGGUCUCCGCUAAGUCGUAAGACGAUGUAUGGGGGCUGACGCCUGCCCAGUGCCAGAAGGUUAAAGAAGUCGGUUAGCAUUAGCGAAGCUGGUAACUGAAGCCCUGGUGAACGGCGGCCGUAACAAUAACGGUCCUAAGGUAGCGAAAUUCCUUGUCGGGUAAGUUCCGACCCGCACGAAAGGCGUAAUGAUUUGGAUACUGUCUCGGAGAGGGGCUCGGUGAAAUAGACUUGUCUGUGAAGAUGCGGACUACCUGCACCAGGACAGAAAGACCCUAUGAAGCUUUACUGUAACUUGAAAUUGAAAUUGGACUUUAUUCGCGCAGUAUAGGUGGGAGGUGUUGAUUAUAAUCUUGCGGGAUUAUUGGAGCCAUCAGUGAGAUACCACUCUUGUAAUGUUAGAUUUCUAACUUUGAAUCAUUAUCUGGUCAAAGAACAGUUUCAGGCGGGCAGUUUGACUGGGGCGGUCGCCUCCCAAAUGGUAACGGAGGCGUACAAAGGUUUCCUCUGAACGGGUAGAAAUCGUAUCUAGAGUGUAAAGGCAUAAGGAAGCUUGACUGUGAGACCUACAAGUCGAGCAGGGACGAAAGUCGGUCUUAGUGAUCUGACGGUACUGAGUGGAAAGGCCGUCACUCAACGGAUAAAAGUUACUCUAAGGAUAACAGGCUGAUCUCCCCCAAGAGUUCACAUCGACGGGGAGGUUUGGCACCUCGAUGUCGGCUCAUCGCAUCCUGGGGCGGUAGUACGUCCCAAGGGUUGGGCUGUUCGCCCAUGAAAGCGGUACGCGAGCUGGGUUCAGAACGUCGUGAGACAGUUCGGUCCAUAUCCGGUGUAGGCGUUAGAAUAUUGAGAGGAGCCUUCUUUAGUACGAGAGGACCGAGAAGGACAUACCUCUGGUGUACCAGUUAUCGUGCCAACGGUAAACGCUGGGUAGCUAUGUAUGGAGUGGAUAACCGCUGAAAGCAUCUAAGUGGGAAGCCCACCUCAAGAUAAGUAUUCUCAUCACGUAAGUGAGUAAGGUCACGGUAAGACUAACCGUUUGAUAGGCAUUAAGUGUAAGUACAGUAAUGUAUGUGCUGAGAUGUCCUAAUAGACCGAGGACUUG